CCUACGGGAGGCAGCAGUGAGGAAUAUUGGUCAAUGGACGCAAGUCUGAACCAGCCAAGUAGCGUGCAGGAUGACGGCCCUCCGGGCUGUAAACUGCUUUUAGUUGGGAAUAAAAGGGGGCUCGUGAGCCCCGUAUUGUAUGUACUAUCAGAAAAAGGACCGGCUAAUUCCGUGCCAGCAGCCGCGGUAAUACGGAGGGUCCGGGCGUUAUCCGGAUUUAUUGGGUGUAAAGGGAGCGUAGGCCGGCUUUUAAGUCAGCUGUGAAAGUCCGCGGCUCAACCGUGGAAUUGCAGUUGAAACUGGAGGCCUUGAGUGCACACAGGGAUGCCGGAAUUCAUGGUGUAGCGGUGGAAUGCUUAGAUAUCAUGAAGAACUCCGAUCGCGAAGGCAAGUCUCCGGUGUGCAACUGACGCUGAGGCUCGAAAGUGCGGGUAUCGAACAGGAUUAGAUACCCCUGUAGUC
rnacentral:rRNA from 1 species